AGUGAACGCUGGCGGUAGGCCUAACACAUGCAAGUCGAACGGCAGCACAGUAAGAGCUUGCUCUUACGGGUGGCGAGUGGCGGACGGGUGAGGAAUACAUCGGAAUCUACUUUUUCGUGGGGGAUAACGUAGGGAAACUUACGCUAAUACCGCAUACGACCUACGGGUGAAAGCAGGGGAUCUUCGGACCUUGCGCGAUUGAAUGAGCCGAUGUCGGAUUAGCUAGUUGGCGGGGUAAAGGCCCACCAAGGCGACGAUCCGUAGCUGGUGUGAGAGGAUGAUCGGCGACACUGGAACUGGGACACGGACCAGACUCCUACGGGAGGCAGCAGUGGGGAAUGUUGGGCAAUGGGCGCAAGCCUGAUCCAGCCAGACCGCGUGGGUGAAGACGGCGUUCGGGGUGUAAAGCCCUUUUGUUGGUAAAGAAAAGCAGUAGGUUAAUACCCAGCUGUUCUGACGGUACCCAAAGAAUAAGCACCGGCUAACUACGUG
rnacentral:rRNA from 1 species